UACGUAGGGUGCGAGCGUUAAUCGGAAUUACUGGGCGUAAAGCGCACGUAGGUGGCUUUGCAAGUCGAUUGUGAAAUCCCCGGGCUUAACCUGGGAACUGCAGUCGAGACUGCUUUGCUUGAGUAUGGGAGAGGGAGGUGGAAUUUCCGGUGUAGCGGUGAAAUGCGUAGAUAUCGGAAGGAACAUCAGUGGCGAAGGCGACCUCCUGGACCAAUACUGACACUCAAGUGCGAAAGCGUGGGGAGCAAACAGG
rnacentral:rRNA from 1 species